GACGAACCGUGCGAACGUUAUUCGGAAUCACUGGGCUUAAAGGGCGCGUAGGCGGCCCGCUAAGUCGAACGUGAAAUCCCCGAGCUCAACUCGGGAACUGCGUCCGAUACUGGUGGGCUUGAAUCCGGGAGAGGGAUGCGGAAUUCCAGGUGUAGCGGUGAAAUGCGUAGAUAUCUGGAGGAACACCGGUGGCGAAGGCGGCAUCCUGGACCGGCAUUGACGCUGAGGCGCGAAAGCUAGGGGAGCAAAUGGG
rnacentral:rRNA from 1 species